GCUUACGGCCACACCUCCCUCAGAGCGCCUGAUCUCGUCUGAUCUCUGAAGCUAAGCAGGGUCGGGGCUGGUUAGUACCUGGAUGGGAGACUGCCUGGGAAUACCAGAUGCUGUAAGCU
rnacentral:rRNA from 1 species